rnacentral:rRNA from 1 species
AAUAGAUACCCGGGUAGUCCACCCGUAACGUUGGAACUAGUUGUGGGUCCUUCCACGGAUUCCGUGACGCAGCUAACGCAUUAAGUUCCCCGCCUGGGGAGUACGGCCGCAAGGCUAAAACUCAAAGGAAUUGACGGGGACCCGCACAAGCGGCGGAGCAUGCGGAUUAAUUCGAUGCAACGCGAAGAACCUUACCAAGGCUUGACAUACACCAGAACACCCUAGAAAUAGGGGACUCUUUGGACACUGGUGAACAGGUGGUGCAUGGUUGUCGUCAGCUCGUGUCGUGAGAUGUUGGGUUAAGUCCCGCAACGAGCGCAACCCUCGUUCUAUGUUGCCAGCACGUAAUGGUGGGAACUCAUGGGAUACUGCCGGGGUCAACUCGGAGGAAGGUGGGGAUGACGUCAAAUCAUCAUGCCCCUUAUGUCUUGGGCUUCACGCAUGCUACAAUGGCCGGUACAAAGGGCUGCAAUACCGUGAGGUGGAGCGAAUCCCAAAAGCCGGUCCCAGUUCGGAUUGAGGUCUGCAACUCGACCUCAUGAA